CAAUAGCGUAUAUUAAAGUUGUUGCGGUUAAAACGCUCGUAGUUGGAGUUCUGCCAGGUGCCGCCUGUCCGCCCCAGUGGUGAGUACGUGGCGCGCAUUUGGCCCUUUCAAGGGGAGCGUAUCUGCACUUUAUUGUGUGGUGCGGGAUCCUUGACUUUUACUUUGAGGAAAUAGGAGUGUUCCAAGCAGGCUCUCGUCGUGCACAGCUCAGCAUGGAAUAAUAGCAUUGGACCUCGAUUCUAAGCUGUUGGUUGCCAGAAGCGAGGUAAUGAUGAAGAGGGAUAGUUGGGGGCAUUCGUAUUUAACUGUCGGAGGUGAAAUUCUUGGAUUUGUUAAAGACGGACUACUGCGAAAGCAUCUGCCAUGGAUGUUUUCAUUGA
rnacentral:rRNA from 1 species